AAAGUCUUGACUUUGUUCUCUGCAAACUGAAGAACUCAGAGAAACUUUUCUUCCUGGCUUUGCUCCACAGAAACAAACCACAGCAGGAGGAGGAGCUUCACAGCAGAACAUGAAGCUUCAUGUUGGAGCUGAAGAGCUGCUGUGUUCUCUCUGUUCUUCAUUCAGUACCAGAGAAAAGAAUGUUGCUGCUUCUCAUCUGGAUGAUGAUGGUCUCCUUUCAAACUGGAUCCUCUGAGGAUUUACUGAAACCAUUGAAAGAUGAAGUGAUGGAUUUGGAAGGAGAAACUGUCACUCUGUCCUGCAAAUAUUCUGGUUCUGUGUAUAAUGUUCAGUGGUACCAACAGAAGUCCAGUUCAUCUCCUCAGUUCAUCAUCGCUGACUUUUCUGCAAAAACAGAGAAAUAUUCAGUGAAACACGACAAACAGAAUCAGGAGUUUCAUCUACAGAUCUCCUCUGCUGCAGUGUCAGACUCUGCUGUGUACUACUGUGCUCUGCGGCCC